rnacentral:rRNA from 1 species
GACGAACGCUGGCGGCGUGCUUAACACAUGCAAGUCGAACGGUGACGGAGAGCUUGCUCUCCUGAUCAGUGGCGAACGGGUGAGUAACACGUGGGCAACCUGCCCAGACUUCGGGAUAACGCUUCGAAAGAGGUGCUAAUACCGGAUACGAGCUCCUUGGGCAUCCUUGGAGUUGGAAAGUUUUUCGGUCUGGGAUGGGCCCGCGGCCUAUCAGCUAGUUGGUGAGGUAACGGCUCACCAAGGCGACGACGGGUAGCCGGCCUGAGAGGGCGACCGGCCACACUGGGACUGAGACACGGCCCAGACUCCUACGGGAGGCAGCAGUGGGGAAUAUUGCGCAAUGGGCGAAAGCCUGACGCAGCAACGCCGCGUGAGGGAUGACGG